GGAAAAAAAAUUAAAAUAUCUCUUUCAAACGUGGUGUGUGCUGUAAAGAUGAUGAUCCAGGUAAAAAGAUGAUGUGGACAGAGGUUACAACUGAAGUCAGGGAUAGAGAGAAGAUUAAAUUCUAAACCAUGACCCUGUUUUCAUAGCAAUGUAUUAAGGAAACAUAAUAGAAUUACAUACCUAAACCAAAGCAUUUUGAAAUAAGGCAUCUGUAAGAUUUUUCCAUGAGUUUUAGGCAGUUUAUGAUGUACUGUGAUGGUCAGAUUUCUGCAUUUUAGUAUUGCUCAGCUUUCAUGGUAAGAGUGGUCCAAAGCCUGAAUAUGAAUUUCAGAGAUAAACUGAACAGUAGCCAGAAAAAAGGUUAAUAUCACAGUAGUAAAAGGUUUGUAUGUGUCAGCUAACUUUAGAAAAGACUAGGUGAUCAUUAAAUCAAGUGAAGCUUGAAUGUAGGAAUAAAUUUGAGUUUGGUGUUAAACUAUAUAGAGUGUCAGGUACUACACCAAUAUCUAAUCCUCUACAUACUACUGGAGUUAGUGCUUAGUACAGCAGAACUUCAGCCUGUAAGCACAAGUUCUCAUGGGGAAUAUCUGUGGCAUGCACUGCAUCCCUGUUUUGUCCUGAUCAGGGACCAAGACAAUCCUGUCACUAGGCAGAACUGAAGUCUGCUGAGAGAUCUCUAAAAGCCACCUCUUGGGGUCCUGAAGGAGCCACUGCUAAUCAUUUGAGGCUUGGCUCACCUGCUGUUACCCAGAUGCAGAAGAGAAGUGACCCAAGCACCAGCUGAACCCCCUAGCCAGGAAGGACUUGGGUAAAAACUGACAAAAGAACCAGAUUUCCCUUCCAAAUGCUCUAGCCUGAUUUGAGAAGAAAUAUUAAUCAUAUCUUUACUGUCUAAAAUAGAGAAAUAGAGUUCAGCUAUUCUGAGGUACAUAUUUAAGGUUCUGGAGGCCUCACAGGGUUUUUUGGGGAUUGUUUUUUCAUUGGUUAGUUGGGUUUGGCUGGGGUUUUUUUGUUGUUUUUGUUUUGGUUUUUUUGGGGGGGUUUGUUUUGUUUGUUUUUUGGUGGGUUUUUUUGUUUGUUUGUUUGUUUUUUUACUACACAUGUAAUUAACUGGUUUACCAGUUAGAAAGAAAUAUUUGCAAGCAAGAGACAUCCACCUCUUUACAGUCAUCAUGUUCCCUUAAGUAUUAUGACGAGUGGAACAAAUAGGGCUGGAAGGGAUCUCUGAAGAUCAUCUAUUCAAACACAGAUUGAUAUAGCAAAGAUCAAAUUGCUGGAAUAUUUUCACAGCCUGAAUCUAACUCUACUACAAGGUUUUACAAAAAGAAUUACUGUGGGACUUGAGAGUUCCUCGGGAAGAAAUGCAAACAGAAGUAACAGAAUGACUUCUAAAAUGCUGUUGCUCAGCUUGACCUCCAAUUGAGUACCAGUUUAGGAGAAGUUUUAAUUUAAAAAUUUAAUUUGAUUAGUCUGGUUAGUCUUGAAAUUUAAGAAGCUAGUGUCAAGGCCCAUAGAGCUUGAGACCAAGUACAAGUCUAAUUACCAGACUGGAAUUUUUACAUUACUACAGACAAGAGUAUUGGAGGAAAACUGUCAUGAUUCAGAAUACAGAAACCACAUUCUCCCUAUUUUCUGGCCAUCCCACUCAGCCUCUCAGAGGGAGUGUUCAGAGUGGAGUAAGUGAAGGCAGAUAACCACAUUCCCAAUCUGCUGUCAUCCUCAGACAGCAGAAUUUACAAUGAUGUGCCUUCUGCUUACCAAAGACAAGUGAUGAAAUCAAAGAGGGUUUAAGUAACCUCUCUUGUCAACAGGUGCCUUCACUAUAAUUACUCGUAGUUGGCCUUUUGCCAACAGGCAAAAUUUCAAUUAGCUUUUUAGCAAAUUUUUGCCAUGUCUCCGCUUAGAAAACUCCAGAUGAAUCAGCUAAAAUGUGUGCAAUUUAAGACAUCUUAAACUCUACACAGAUCCUCUCAUUCAAGAGCAAAGAGUCUGCAAAACUCUAACAUAUCUCCCCUUCUCGAGGCAUCAUAGUCACAAAGUAUUAAUCUCUUUUGCCAGGUAGCAGAUCAGGAUUCAAGCAUUCGCCAGGGAUAUUCUUAUUUACAGCUUGGUGUUUUUGUACAAGCCCACCAUUAUUAUUGGCUUGAGACAAAACCCUGGGUGGUGAACAGGAAGGGAUGAGGUGUGUUACCCACCUUGCUCCACUCUGCAGGAAGAGUAGCAAGCUGCUUAUGCUAAUGCACUGAACUGCCUGGCUAGAUUUGGCAGAGGUGCCUAUCCAAGUUUUUGGUUCAUUAUAAGCAGAUAAUACUAAGUAGCAUCAAACUAAAGUCGCUUGAUUUGUACUGGAAACCUCCAUCUUGGGACUGAAUGCAUUUUAAAGGCCCUGACAGAUGGGCUCUGCUGAACUGAGCAGCAGCAAUCUGUGUCACUUUACCUCCCCCAUGGCUGCUGUGCCUGUCCCAGGGCCGUCUGUCCCAGCAGCAGGGGAAAUGAGCAGAUGCUGGGAAGGGCAAUUUCUCCACAGGGUCUGGCCAGUGGCCUGUGCAGGGAGAGGCAGCAAGCCCCUGCUUUGGCCACUGCUAGGGCAAGGACUCUGGCAGUGAGGCGGGGGAGAUGGGAGGCAGACAAUGUGUAACCAUCUCUGCUAAACCUGACAAGGUUCCACCAGGAUGUCUCACACUUAGCUGAUUUGCCAAACCUGCUGCAGCUGCCUCGUGUGGCACCUUCUUCACACGCAUAAUAAUUUGACCACAGUCAAAGUUUUUGCUUAAAGCAAAGAAUAAGAGAGUGCUGGUGCAGUGCAGGAGGAGAGCAGAAUGUGUUUUAAAGCCUUUUCACAGCUUUGAUCUGAAAUCUUUUGGGUUCCAGUUAAACCCAUUUUGCUCUGCCAGCAGCAAUCCUCACAGGAACACAAACAAGGGCCCUGUCUCCUCCCUCUUGCACCACUCACACCCUCUGUGUCUGGGCUUACCUGCCAAAUUUCGUGCGUCUCUGUGUCUGGCAUGUAUGCAAAUUAAGCAAUCUGUAUCUAAUGUAUAUAUUGUCAUAAAUAUGCUUCUGAAAAAAACACUGGUAGGAGUGGUUAAAAGUAUUAGGCUGAGACUUGGCUUUGUAGGGAGAGCUUCUUCAAAGACCAGGGUCUGAGUGCAGUGGAGAUGGGAAAGAGCCUUCUUGAUAGCCAGUCUGGAAAGCUUUUCUCUGGAAAACACAGGUAACAGGUGCACUCAAUGGUUCUUAUGGGUCUCUUCCAGCUCAGGAUCUUCUCUGGCCAAUGAGCAUAGCAGUGGAAGAUCAGAACUUUAUAGAGGGCUGUUCCCCAUGGAAGGAGGAGUGUUGACUGCUGUCCCAUGCCACACAAUCAUUAGUACUGCCAGUCCUUUGCUGGUUCCUUGCUUCUUACCCAUUACCCACCUCUUCCUCUUCACUGGAUGCACAGUGCCCUAAAACUGUCCUGGGAACAGGGAGCACACAGAGGAGAAAGGAAUGGCUGUUCACCAGCUUUGCAUGACCCCAGCUCCCAGGGGCAGAUUAUGUAGACUCCUUGCCUGGAGCAAUCUUCCCCUAAUUCUUUCAGAAUAAGCCCUCCUGCUCCUGAUUUCUCCUACUUUUCCAUCUUGCCUUGCCCCUUCCCCACCUCACAGGAAGACUGGUUGGGAACCAAUAUCCAGGUGAACCAGUUUGGGCAGAAAGAGAUCUCAGUCUAUUGACCUCUGUACUCCACCUUCCCUCACCAAGGGGUGAGGUAAUUGGAUAGCUCAUAUACAUUUCUGAAAAAAUUGUAGGAAGAGUAAAGGAAACACGACUAGGAAAGAUGGGAUGGUUCUGCAAGGCAAGGGAGAAAAAACAGUCCAGGUCAUGCCAGAAGCAAAGUGGGAAUUUAUGGGGAGAAGUUCUCACUGACUUAGCAAACUCAAUGGCUGCAGGAACAGACAGAUGGCUGCUCAGGGCUGGGAGUGAUGGAAAAAGCUCAGUGGCGGUGCACUGCUAAACAGGGCUUAGCACUAGGCUCAGGUCAUUGUUGGGUCUGGAAGCUUAACCUCCUCUCUAGGGCACUGAGCAGUGUAUGACUACUUUUCCCACCCAACAGCCACCAGGCUGCUCUGGUGAUGCUGAGAAGUUUGCACCUUGUUUCUCCUGUGCUGUGAUCACAGCAUUCCCAUGCACUGGAAAUACUUGUUUUGGAGCGUAGGUAUCUCUGACAGUUAAUUUAGGCUGUGAGCAGGGACGUCAUCCACACACACAGGAUGUUUGUCUGCUCUCCUCUCUGCCAAGGUCCUUCAUUAUGAUUAAGGCUGACAUGGGGAGGGGACGGAAUUAAGUUUUUGACCAGCUCUGUCUUCUCCAGUUCCUCCAUGCCCUUUGCAGCCACUUGCAGGAAGAAUGAAGGAAUAAUCCCAAGUCUGGAUACCAUAUCACUGUAGCUACAAGACAGUAAAAUAAAAUAAUUCCUUAUUACGGAAAGGCCAUUAGCUCUGGGUUGAAUGGUCUGCUUCAAAGUCUCAUUAAAAUACCUCCUUCUAGCUACUAAAUACUCAUUCCUGCUAUCUGUGAGAGCUAAACCAUAUGCACAGUUAUGAUUAAAUGUGGGUGCUGCAACUAACUUCUGUUAGUUCAGAGCACGACUAUCAACUCAAAGCAAUAAGUGGUAAGAACAUCCUUCUGUUAUGAGAGUUUAGGGUGGCAUCAACUGUUGUGCAUACAAAGUUUGGGUGAAACAAUUGACCAGGAAAGAAAACCCCACAGAACAAAGCCAAACACAAAAACAAGAGACAAAACCAGGAAGAGAAAAUUAAUGCAGUCUUGGAAGUUAUAUCAUACAUGUACUGUAAAAGAGGAUCAGUUUGAAAGGGAUUGGGAAAUUUCACAGAAACCAUGUUGUUAUCUAUGUAAGUAAAACCAGACCUAAUUAUCAGGCUGUGCGCAGUCAUGCUGUUCCUGUUAGCACAACCCUCUCAGAAAGUGAACAAAAAUCAAGUAAUUUUAGGGCUCCUAUUACCUGCAGAAAAAUCUGAGGAUGGAAAGGAAGAAAAGAGUAAGUAGCCUUAGGAGUCGAGGCAUGGACCAGAAUACAGGCUGAAAACCUCUGGGCAUGAGCUGAGGCUCCUCUCCAAAGCUGUCACUCCUCAGGAAGCAUUAAGCAAGAGCCAGGGGAGUCAGAGUUAGAAAAAAAACCCUCUAAAAGAAGCAGAACAUAGCAAAGCUGGCAGCAGCCACAGACAGGCCAAGAGGCUGGAUCACACCAGUGCACAGGAAGAGCUGGGACCAUGCAGCAGCAGCAUGAAGUGGCCCAAAAGCUGGAUCUGGGAGAAGAAGAUGCUGUACUCAGAGUCUGCAUGAAAAAAAAGCUAUAGCUGAAAGGUAACUUCCCAGCUAUAUUCCCCAGCUGAGCGUGUGCAAGUAUAAUGGCAGAAGUAGCACUAGAAGCUGGUAUUAAUACCAUCACAGCUAAAUGUCAGAAGUAGCCUAGAGAGGGAACUUCACUCUGCAAAAUGCAUAGCUGUGAAAUCCAUCGACAAAACUCAUGUCUGCUUCUAUUAGUACCACAACAGCAGUUUGACCUAAAUAGUAAUUUCUGUUUGGCACUGAAAGACAAAUAGGAAUAAGAUCCAAAAUAUGAGUCAUUAAAAAUAAAAAAAGGCCAACAACAUGUACUGUACUCCACAAUCAGCCCCUUCCCAAAAGGGGGCCAAAAGCUGUACAUACUUUGGAUUCUUCCAUAGCAAAUCUUACUGUCACUCAGAAUUUUUUGGCUGACACCUUGAUGACACUGAAGUAGAGAGUCAGUCUAUGACACAGACAGUGGUGGUCCUUACUAAUUUCAGUGAGUGGAUUAAGAAAUACAGACUCACAGUAUUGCAACACUGCAUGUUGUGCUCACAUAUGCAGCAGUUUUGACUGUAAAAUCCUUGAAUGCUUGGCAACCCCCACACUGCCUGGCUCUGGUUUGGAUAUUUUUGCUGAUGACCUUUUGGGUUAUUGCCCUGGCAAGAAUGGAGAGCUGACAAUGACCUACCAGUCACUGGCUCAGUCUUUCUAACAUACAUAAGUGGGAAAGAAUCGGUAGAAAUGCUGAGAUGCUCCUGUGUAGACUUCUGAGAGUGACACUCCUAGUGCAUACAUGUAGCAUAGUGGUUCAAGAUCAAUUGAGCUUACUAGCUCAAAAUUAAAUUAUUUGAGCUUACUAGUUCCUAACUGAAAUGUACUAUUCAAAAUGCUCUCAAAAUUACAAAGCUGAUGUACUUGUUCACUUACAUCCUCAGCAUGUACACCUUACACAGGACUGAAAGAAAACAUGUAGGCAUCUGUGAUCUCUAGUAGAGAAUACUGCUCCUCAGCAUCCAGCCCUAGUUAGUUGGCAAGUGCUUCCGCAACAUCAUACUUAGUUUCAUUUCAAGAUGCUAAGCCUUAAAAUGAAACUAAGUAUGAUGUUGUAAAAUGUUUUGUUAACUUUCAGUUUAGCUUACUAUUAAAAUUAGUUAUUUUUCCUUUGUUAGUUUCUUUGUUCAAGUGGUUGGAAGCAGGCAGCUCCACCCAAAUUUUUCAUUACACCAGUGCCAUUAAAAUGUUUAUCUGUGUGUCAGCUUGGUGCUUGUGUCUCAAAUUGUUUUGCCAGGAAGCCAUCAGUGAUGUCCUGUUCCCCUCCCUUACCCCCACCCCCCGCCAGUAAAAUGUGUACUACUUAUCUUCUUAAUGUCAUUUUUAAAAUAGAUAUUAUUUAUUUUAACAGCUAUGUAUUUUCAUGCUCCCAACUUUAAGUCCUUAAAAAUAGUGACCACAAAGAGUGCACUCAGCAAUCCUACAGCAGACCAUGUGUGUGCAAUUACCUCAUUUACACAAUCACAAUAAUCACACAAAAUUCAAUGCCCCAUCUGGAAGAUAGGAAAUAUGAUUUCCUUUCUUCUACCUUUGCCUGCGUACAUAGCUGACUCUUGAGGAUAAGCAGAGCCUCAUUAUGUUGGUGGAUAUACAUACACACAUACACAAUACAUAUGCUCACACAAUACUGCAGAUAACUGGGGCCUGAUUUCUGUUGGGGCUGCUAGCAACUCUGGUAAAUUAUUGCACUUCAAAUUUUGGCAUAAAAUCUCCUACCAACCUUGCCCACCCUUGCUAUUUCCAGCUCAGGCUGAUAGUUUUGGCUGGCUGCCUUCCCUGCUUGGGUAAACCCUGGGAAGCACAGCUGAGCAAAGACGCAGAACCUUCCCUCUCCCCCACCUGGCUCAAAGGUGUUUGGUGGGGCUUGAGCCAGGUGAUGGAAAAUAAGCAAUCAUGGCCAUUUUCUGACCAUUUUCACAGAGAGGCAGAUCAGAAGAACCUGGACCUCUGGUGCACCCUGUGAUGAAGAAUGAAAACUAUUUUCUUCUCCCGUCCCACCAAGUGGAAGGAGAGGAGUCUCUAGAGAAACAUGAAUGCAAAAAUCCCCAAGACAGGGUCUCCAGGUAAAGUAGUACCACAACUAUGGGAAGAGCUGGGACAUCACACAGAUCAUGCAGCAAAAGAAAAAAAAAGGGGGGGAAGCAAACGCUUAGUAGAAAAGACUUACAACUAAUAGUGAACUUCUGGGUUUGGGGUUUCAAUAUCUCUUUGCUGGAUGGGGAAUGACUCCAGCAUGUGUUCACAAAGAGAACUCCUACAUUACAAGCUACAAGUGACACUGGAGGUGAUCAGUUCUAAGCCUUCAAGCAUACUGCUACCUUGUUCCUGUUGGAAAAGACUCACCCCUAGGGUGACACAAACAUGUCAAUUUUUUAAGAGAUACAAGCUGCACAGCGUUUCUGCAAAGGAAUUUGAAAAACAUGUGCACUUGAGCAUGAUGUUCCAUCUCUCUUCCUUUCCCAAAACACUGUGCCACAAUAAUCUGCUCUCACAUAAGAAAUGAGCGGAAGUAUAGUCAUUUCCAGGAGCAUUAAACAUGCAUUUGUUGGAAAAGCAACACUGCCUUCUUCUCCCACUUAUUUCUACAAAUACAACUCCCUCUACUGAGGACGGCUUGUGACAGCCCAAGGCCAUAUGAGAGGCCGCUUGUUAAAAUGCUGGCAAAGAGUACUGGCAUUGUACGUGUCAACUCCUGCUUUACCAAGGGUGGGCAGUGGGCAGCCAGAGCCUGAGUCUGUUGUGAGACCUCAGAGAUGAGAUGGAGCAAGGUCUGUUCUUUUCACUGGAGUCCCCACCAGGAAUUCCUGGAGAGUACAAAGCAACCCCUUAAAAAUCUUUCUCUCAUUAUUCCAGCUUGCAGCAAACCCUAGAAGUUGCUCAGCUGAAGUUACAGGUCACAUUUUCUAUUAUUGUCUUCCAGUAACAGAGAAAAUGUGCAUGCUGCAGCCACACUCAGACACAGCUCCUGCUGCACCAUGGGCUGGUCCUGGCAUUAGCUGCAGGGAGAGAAAAGACAGUUGAGAAGAGAUGAGAAACAGGAGAAACCUAGGAAAGAGAGGUGAAAUACAGAUGGUGACGAAUGAAUGAGGUGGAUUUGGGGUUUUUCAAGCUUACUGCACUGUCAAGUUUUCCUAAGCAUGGGCCAUUAGCCCCUUCCAGUAUUCCUUUCUGUGAAAAAAGGCACAUGGAAAAUGACACACCUUUGAGAGCCAGCCUGUUCUCACUAGGCAUUUGGUGAUUUUUUUAAAAGUCUCAAGAUAUUUGCAAUGUUUCCUGUCUGCAAAGUGAAUCUAUCAUUCUUAUACCUUGACAUUUUUUUGUGCUAGUACAGUGGAUUCAGAGUAUUUUUUUUUUUUAACUCUUCUUUUACUACUACAGAGUACUUCUUUUACUACUAGUUCUUGAUGGGUUCAAAUUUCAGAUGGCUCUUUCUGCAGAAACCAGGGCAAUGCACGGGAUGUUCUACUACUAGGGAAUAGCAGAGCUGCUUUCCAUGUGUGACAGGAACUCCUGGCAAUUAUAAGCGCUUCAAAUAUGCAUUUCCCUCAUUAAUUUUUUCUAAUUCAGGCCUACAAAACUUAAAUUUUGUGAUUUACAGAGUGUUCAUGACCACAGUGUACUGCUGCUGUAGCUGGGGAUGGGACCUCUGUCAGGCCACAGAGAGCUGUGGCCUGACAGUGGCAGGCAGUGGCAGCACACAGCAGCUGUGCAGCCCCAGAGCUGUGCAGGGCAGCGAGCAGCUCGGGCUGGCAGCUUGUGGCAGCCACCGUGACAUCUCCAGCAGCUGUCACAGGGCUGCCCUGCACGCAGGCCCAACAAUCUGGGUGCCAGAUACUCCCCUCUCCCUUCCUCCCAACACCAGGGGCCAGCUAACAGCAAGGGCAGUGUAAAAACUGAGAGCACUAGGAAACAAUUAUUUAUGCAUUUUCAGCAUUGUACUGUGGUUAAUCUGUGCUUCCUUUUUAAUACUGUCUGGUGAAGGAAAGAGCCAGAAAGUAUCUCGGAGAGGUACUGGUAUUAUCUUUGCCUUUCAGGUCUUUUAAAUUAGGUCACUUUACCUAAGAAAGAAAAGCUCCAUUGUUUAACAUUUUUUAUAUGACAAUCUCAAAGCAAUUGAUAUUUGAUUAAUUCACAACCUUGCUCUGAUUUUGGAUUUGUUGUUCUCAUUUUCACUGUAGACACCAAGGAAGAGAAAAGUUUAAUCACUGGCCAA
ensembl:lncRNA